AGCAGUAGCCGCGGUAAUACGAAGGGUGCAAGCGUUAAUCGGAAUUACUGGGCGUAAAGCGUGCGUAGGCGGUUUGUUAAGUCUGUUGUGAAAUCCCCGGGCUCAACCUGGGAAUGGCAAUGGAUACUGGCAAGCUAGAGUGUGUCAGAGGAUGGUGGAAUUCCCGGUGUAGCGGUGAAAUGCGUAGAGAUCGGGAGGAACAUCAGUGGCGAAGGCGGCCAUCUGGGACAACACUGACGCUGAGGCACGAAAGCGUGGGGAGCAAACAGGAUUAGAUACCCCAGUAGUCCCUGUCUCUUAUAC
rnacentral:rRNA from 1 species